rnacentral:lncRNA from 1 species
GCCUUUCCCGCCACGACGACACCAACCUUCAAGGACUGGGCUUCCGACUGGAUUUCUCGGAGUUCUACAACAGGCAGAAUGUACAGCUGCGGACUUCAAUGACGUUCCAUAGCCGUCGCCAGUACCAAGGGUCCACUGCCCAAGUUUAGGUGAUUCUAUGGCUGCUCAGCUGUCAUGCCAUAUUACCACCAGCUGCGAGCGCACGGUGAAGGCAUAAUUUAUAUCGAUAACGAUUCGAGGUAAGGCCUUCUGAAGAUGAGGCAUGCGGAACCACACCAUACUUUGGGCUUCGUUCGGAGCUGAAGAAUCUGUGAGCAAUGAUAAUUUAAUGCUUGGAUUGUGCUUUUCAUUUACAUGUGCAAAAUGAACGUCUUGAGCGUGCAUUAUUUGGAAAAACAUGGACUAUCAGCCGAGUUUUUGUGCUUCUUGCAAUUCCUUGACUGCAGCCGUAGUGUUUAUAGUUGUUCAACGAUCUUAAAUAAAGUAUCGCCUUUUGUAUUCUG